GUCGAGCGAUGAAACUUUAACAGAACCCUUCGGGGCGAAGAUAAAGUGGAUUAGCGGCGGACGGGUGAGUAACACGUGAGUAACCUGCCUUAGACAUUGGGAUAGCCUCGGGAAACCGGGAUUAAUACCAAAUAAAAUCAUAAUGACACAUGUCAUAACGAUCAAAACUCCGGUGGUCUAAGAUGGACUCGCGUCCCAUUAGCUAGUUGGUAGAGUAAAAGCCUACCAAGGCGACGAUGGGUAGCCGGCCUGAGAGGGUGAACGGCCACAUUGGAACUGAGAAACGGUCCAAACUCCUACGGGAGGCAGCAGUGGGGAAUAUUGCACAAUGGAGGGAACUCUGAUGCAGCGACGCCGCGUGAACGAAGAAGGCUUUCGAGUCGUAAAGUUCUUUUAUAUGGGAAGAUAAUGACGGUACCAUAAGAAAAAGCCCCGGCUAACUACGUGCCAGCAGCCGCGGUAAUACGUAGGGGGCUAGCGUUGUCCGGAAUCACUGGGCGUAAAGGGUUCGCAGGCGGAAAUGCAAGUCAGAUGUAAAAGGCAGUAGCUUAACUACUGUAAGCAUUUGAAACUGCAUAUCUUGAGAAGAGUAGAGGUAAGUGGAAUUUUUAGUGUAGCGGUGAAAUGCGUAGAUAUUAAAAAGAAUACCGGUGGCGAAGGCGACUUACUGGGCUCAUUCUGACGCUGAGGAACGAAAGC
rnacentral:rRNA from 2 species